CAUAAGUCAACUUAAGAAUCUGGUUCUAGUCGGUCAGAGGAGUUGUUGUUGGGUGGUGUCAGUCUCCAUCUAGUGGCGCUCAUCAGCAGAGAACAGAAACAUUUAUUUAUGAGAACAAAGUACUUUAACACUACAGAGAAAUACAGAAUGUAACACAGCAAAGUCCAUAACAGUAAAUACAAGCAGGUCAUAUUUUUAUACUAGAAAUAAGAUGAUAUUAGCACCAUGCAGGACUACACAAGUCAAUAUGGAGGAACUACAGGAGAUGUUUGAACAAGCUUUAGGAAAAAUACAAAGAAAUAAAAUGUCAAAUAGCAAGUUUUUAAAUGAAUACAUGGAAACCGGUGCUACCGAUGCUAUGUAACAGUACUAAAAGCCCUGACCCUUAUUAAUCCUCUCUAGGUAUAACAGUUUUAGUACAAACACAGGUUCUAAGUGCUUCACAGUAAAGGCCCCAUUUGUCCACUUUUCAAGCAUUCCCUCCUACUGUCUUUACCAGCAUUUAAUAAGCGAGCACCCAGACUGGUGGUGGUAGUCGUGUUGAAUGGUCUCCAGCACCUCCCUCACCUGCCCUUUAGGAAGGCCUUUCCACUUGAGCAGGGCAGGCAGGAGCUCUGGGUCCUUGCUGCAGUCAAGAACGAAAGGAGAGUUAGACAGGUGCAGUUACACCAGUGUACCACCAGAGGCAGGCUCAACAGUCUUCCUGGAUGGUCGCAGCUGUGAGCUUCAGCGCCUCGUUGCACUCGCAGUCCAACAGCUCCUUGACCUUCAGCAGUAGUCGGUUCUGCUGUGGAACAUCAGGGGCCUGAGGCAGAACAUGCAGGUCAGAAGCGUGUGCAGGUAAAAGUGGGAAACGAGGCAUCUCCAUGCUGAUCUCACCAGCUCUGACAUGAUGCUGUGAAUUCCAUGAGCAUCUUCACCGAUGGUUUUGCUGACGUCAGGAUUCCAACAACUCUCCAGUUGACGCUUGUUGGUCUUGAUCAGAUGUUUGACAUAAAUCUGAACUAUGAGCUUGUAGGCCUUGUUCAAAACCCUCUGAAAAUAUAGAAGCUAAAAUAAAACAUGUUGCAAAUGCA
rnacentral:lncRNA from 1 species